ACACACUCGAUUCCUUAGCCCUCAGGCCUAAAGAGUGGCCUGAGUGGCUUAAAGAGAAAAGGGGAAAAGUGAAACUGAAAUGGACUUGAAGUCUUGUGACAAACAAGUUCACUUCAAACAAUU
rnacentral:snoRNA from 1 species